rnacentral:lncRNA from 1 species
CUAAUUCAAAUAGUUGCUUUGGGUACAAUUACAAUUUUUAUGUGAUACAUAUUUAUAUUUAUUUCAGACAAACCAGGUUACAUUAUGCUGAAGUUUUAAAGCUGAUAUAAGGAUUGAAUUUAAAAGGGAUUGAUUGCCCAAUGAUCAAUUCAUUCAAUUAUAUUACUAAGUAAUGAAGAUUACCUAUCUUGGAACAAAAGGACAAUGUUUUUGAUCUUCAUAUUCCAAAGUGUGCAAAAGACUAGAAUUUCAGAUGUAAAAGAGGCUGCCUUUAGGAGUGACAUACAAUUAAAGGGAGAAUGCAAUUGCUGAUAUCUAACACUGAAACUAUAUAGAAAAGGUGAAGAGAGAAGACACCACAACUGUUCUUCAUGACUAUUUGGAGUUGAAAUUAUA